rnacentral:sRNA from 1 species
GAUUAAGGAUACCUUCAGGUCUUUUGUAUUUUAGUAAAAUUCCAUCCAGUAUUUUUAGAUUUAGAACCUGCACAAUUAAUUAUGUUUUCUAACAUCUUUAUUUUAGUACACAUGUGACUCAGAAGUAAUUAUAGAAAACAAUAUUCUUAUCAUUGCUGCUUGUUUAUUUUGGAGGAUUUGUCAUUCAUUGUCCUUCAUACUUGUGUAGAUGUGAGGGAGCAGUUUCCUUUAUAUUAGUAUAUUACAUUUUUGGUUAUCUUUUAGGUCCUAUCAGCAGUAUCCUGGUGAAUAAAUAUGGAAGUCGUAUAGUCAUGAUUAUUGGUGGCUGCUUGUCAGGCUGUGGCUUGAUUGCAGCUUCUUUCUGCAACACCGUACAGCAACUAUACUUCUGUAUUGGAGUCAUUGGAGGUCUUGGGCUUGCCUUCAACUUGAAUC